rnacentral:lncRNA from 1 species
UUUUCUCUUUUUUUUUUCUGUGGGGGGCACAACCACAUUUUUUUUCAUAUUUUGGUUGGGCGAUGUUCAUACACAUUUCAUAUAAUAUUAUGCUACUCGCAUUUUUAUUUUUUAUCUUACAUUAUGUGCGUUAAUACCAAAUCGAAUCGUGAUUAUCUAUAGAUCAAGAGCGCUUACGACAUUACAUAGUCUUAUAUGAAUAUUGUUUUCACUUUUUAUUGCGACAAAUCAACAUAUAUAGCCAAAUAAUUUG